AGGUAAAAAGUUCAAAACACAUGUCUUUUAAUAACUUUCACUCGCUUAUCAGUUAUCAUCCUUCAAAGUUGGAAAUUUGUUCUUCUGUUUCUUCCUCGACCCUUUCCCAUGGCUUCUUCCCUCCAUAGUAAUAAUACCCAAAUCUGCCCCAAUCCCACCGCCUUGAACGGCGGUUCCGCCGCCGACGGUAACUCCCAGAUUUCCAAGAAACCCAGAUUGUAUGCUGACCCUCCGCCGUUGUUCAUUCCCUCUGAUAUCAUCUCCGAAUUUUCCCACCAUGACCCCGCCGUUGCUCGUAUUAACAACGGCAGCUUCGGGUGUUGCCCUUCUUCAGUUCUCUCAGCUCAGAACCAGCUACAGCUCCAGUGGCUCCGACAGCCGGACGAUUUCUACUUCAACCAGCUCCAACCUAAGAUCAUCCAGUCCAGAACUAUAAUUAAGGACAUCAUCAACGCCGACCACGUCGACGAGGUCUCUAUCGUCGACAACGCCACAACCGCCGCCGCCAUUGUACUGCAGCAAAUAGCUUGGGGAUUCGCGGAGGGGAAGUUCUGCCGUGGGGAUGCCGCCGUCAUGCUUCACUACGCUUACGGUGCCGUCAAGAAGUCUGUCGAGGCUUAUGUCACGCGCGCCGGCGGGUAUGUUAUCGAGGUCCCUUUGCCUUUUCCUGUUAGCUCCGUCGACGGGAUCGUGAAAGAGUUCAGGCAAGCUUUACGGAGAGGGAAACAAAACGGGAGGAAAGUAAGAUUGGCUGUCAUCGACCACGUCACUUCCAUGCCUACCGUGGUCAUCCCCGUUAAAGAAUUAGUCACCAUUUGUAGGGAAGAAGGCGUUGACCAAGUGUUUGUUGAUGCAGCUCAUGGUAUCGGGUGCGUUGACGUUGAUAUGAAACAAAUAGGAGCUGACUUUUACACUAGCAACUUGCACAAGUGGUUCUUUUGCCCACCAUCUGUUGCCUUUUUGUACUGUAAAAAGUCCACAAACAACUCCGAUUUGCACCAUCCCGUCGUUUCCCAUGAAUAUGGCAAUGGUUUAGCCAUAGAAAGUGCUUGGAUAGGGACCAGGGAUUACAGUUCUUACUUAGUGGUUCCAAAGGUUUUGGAAUUCAUCAAUAGGUUUGAAGGUGGGAUUGAAGGGAUCAAGAAAAGGAACCAUGAAUAUGUUGUUGAGAUGGGGCAGAUGUUGGUUAAAGCAUGGGGAACUCGUCUUGGUUGUCCCCCAGAGAUGUGUUCAAGCAUGGUCAUGGUUGGUUUACCUGCUUGUUUCGGGAUUUCAAGUGAUCAUGAUGCUUUGGAAUUGAGGACUUGUUUAAGGGACAAGUUUGGUGUUGAGGUUCCAAUAUAUUAUAGACCACCCAAGGAUGGGGAGGAAGGUGGGGUAGUAACAGGGUAUGCGAGGAUUUCUUAUCAAGUUUAUAACAAGGUUGAGGAUUAUUACAAGUUUAGGGAUGCAAUCAAUCAACUCGUUGACAAUGCAUUCACUUGUGCUUCUCUUCCCAUUUCAUAAGGAUACGGGUAUGAUUAGUCUUUUUCAAGUUUUUUCAUGCAUUUGGAGAGUAAUUGAAGGUCAUAUCUUGUAUUUGUGUGUCCAACACGAGUGUUAGACACCUAUACUUCAACAAAACUGAAGAGCACAAGCAACAUAGCUGAAGUAGUGGUCUUUCCUCUUUCGUCGGAAUAAGAGCCAGCCAACCAGCUAGCCAGCCAUGGACAUAGGCAUGGUUUAGGUACCAUGCAAAAUGCAUGAAUGUUAUUUCCUUAAUUUAGCAUAAGUAAAUGUCUUGCUUGCUUUGUAGCUCUCUUAUCUAAUUCCAACUUGCUUAACUUUUUGUCUAAUGUUGGUUUUGGUUGGAGAGCAUGGUUAUCAUGUACAUGUAUUGUUCAAUGUCUAAUCUUAUAAAGGGACCUUGUUGAUUAAAAAAAAAAAAACCUUUAUCGUUUAUAUGAUAUAAAUAGUUUGUUAUAUGGCAAA